GACGAACGCUGGCGGCGUGCUUAACACAUGCAAGUCGAACGGAAAGGCCCUGCUUUUGUGGGGUGCUCGAGUGGCGAACGGGUGAGUAACACGUGAGUAACCUGCCCUUGACUUUGGGAUAACUUCAGGAAACUGGGGCUAAUACCGGAUAGGAGCUCCUGCUGCAUGGUGGGGGUUGGAAAGUUUCGGCGGUUGGGGAUGGACUCGCGGCUUAUCAGCUUGUUGGUGGGGUAGUGGCUUACCAAGGCUUUGACGGGUAGCCGGCCUGAGAGGGUGACCGGCCACAUUGGGACUGAGAUACGGCCCAGACUCCUACGGGAGGCAGCAGUGGGGAAUAUUGCACAAUGGGCGGAAGCCUGAUGCAGCAACGCCGCGUGCGGGAUGACGGCCUUCGGGUUGUAAACCGCUUUCGCCUGUGACGAAGCGUGAGUGACGGUAAUGGGUAAAGAAGCACCGGCUAACUACGUGCCAGCAGCCGCGGUGAUACGUAGGGUGCGAGCGUUGUCCGGAUUUAUUGGGCGUAAAGGGCUCGUAGGUGGUUGAUCGCGUCGGAAGUGUAAUCUUGGGGCUUAACCCUGAGCGCGCUUUCGAUACGGGUUGACUUGAGGAAGGUAGGGGAGAAUGGAAUUCCUGGUGGAGCGGUGGAAUGCGCAGAUAUCAGGAGGAACACCAGUAGCGAAGGCGGUUCUCUGGGCCUUUCCUGACGCUGAGGAGCGAAAGCGUGGGGAGCGAACAGGCUUAGAUACCCUGGUAGUCCACGCUGUAAACGGUGGGUACUAGGUGUGGGGUCCAUUCCACGGGUUCCGUGCCGUAGCUAACGCUUUAAGUACCCCGCCUGGGGAGUACGGCCGCAAGGCUAAAACUCAAAGGAAUUGACGGGGCCCCGCACAAGCGGCGGAGCAUGCGGAUUAAUUCGAUGCAACGCGUAGAACCUUACCUGGGUUUGACAUGGAUCGGGAGUGCUCAGAGAUGGGUGUGCCUCUUUUGGGGUCGGUUCACAGGUGGUGCAUGGCUGUCGUCAGCUCGUGUCGUGAGAUGUUGGGUUAAGUCCCGCAACGAGCGCAACCCUUGUUCACUGUUGCCAGCACGUUAUGGUGGGGACUCAGUGGAGACCGCCGGGGUCAACUCGGAGGAAGGUGGGGGUGACGUCAAGUCAUCAUGCCCCUUAUGUCCAGGGCUUCACGCAUGCUACAAUGGCUGGUACAGAGAGUGGCGAGCCUGUGAGGGUGAGCGAAUCUCGGAAAGCCGGUCUCAGUUCGGAUUGGGGUCUGCAACUCGACCUCAUGAAGUCGGAGUCGCUAGUAAUCGCAGAUCAGCAACGCUGCGGUGAAUACGUUCCCGGG
rnacentral:rRNA from 1 species